rnacentral:lncRNA from 1 species
AAGCUUGGCCAGAGUGAUCCCGAACUUAUCCUCCAUGUCCAACUCCCCUGCUGCAAUAUCACCUUCAAGUUCCCAGUCAAAACAAUUUAUGAGGGAUCCCACCAUGAUGGGCACCAUCCUCAUGGCCAGGGGCAAUCCAGGACAUUUCCUUCGACCCGCGCCAAAUGGAAUCAGCUCGAGAUCAUGCCCAUACACAUCAACUUUGGAGUCCGUGAAUCUCUCCGGCUGGAAUGACAGUGGAUUUUCCCAUAGGGCAGGAUCGCGCCCAAAAGACCAUACAUUCACCAGCACUUGCGAAUUUUUGGGAAUUAUAUAGCCACUUAAUUCAACAUCUUCUGUCACUUGGCGUGGUAGCAAGAAGGGAACCGGUGGGUGCAACCUUGCACUCUCUUUCACAAUGCAUUGCAAAUAAGUCAACUUAGAAAUGUCUGCUUCUUCUACUAUCUUGCCUUUUCCGAUCACUUGAUUCAGCUCAGCUUUCGCCCUGGCCAAUACUGUUUCCGAUUUCUUUAAUACCUCAGCCAUCGCCCAUUCCACUGUACUUGAAGUCGUCUCUGUUCCUGCAACGAACAAGUCCUGUCCAAGUAUAUAAUUUGUGACUUUAAUCAAUUCGGAUAUCAUGAUUUGUAUGAUUAUGACAAAAAAGCAAUUGACAAAAAUCCUUAUAUAUCCUAUAGAACAAAUCACUUAUUAUCUUACCGUGAACAAGUGAUUGGUGUGUCGUCUGUCAAUUUCAUUUGUUCGCAACAAUUUCAGCAGUUCGUCGAGCACAUCUAUACUAAGAUUGUCCUCAGAGUCCCCCAAUUUCUUCAGCUCCAAACGCUCAUUUACCAUACCAUCAAACAACUUGAUUAACUUUCGAAAAUGAACACUUGUUCGUCGUUUAAUACCUUGAGGAUCGAUAGACCUAAGAAUAGGAAAAUAAUCCGCAAAAUUAGGCUUACCGGACUCCAUCAUAAUGCUCCACACCGUGUCCUUAAACUCCCUAGCUACAUUCCCAUGAUACGGAUCUGCGAUAUCCUUGGAAAACAUGGUAUUAGACAAAAGAUUAAGCGCGGUCUGAAAUGCAGCACAACCAAUAUCUACAGCCUCCCCCCUUUCGCUACACUUACUAACGUAACCAACAAGCUCCUGCACCUUGUUCGUUCGAAGAUGAUGACUUGCAUCCAGCUUGCUAGUAGUAAAAAUAUACGAGCUCAUAAUUUUUCUUAGGCUCCUCCACUGAUUUCCAACAGGCAACCAUGUAACCGAGGACUUGAAAUGGUCGCAAGCACGUAUAGCAUCGGGUUGGGUCCGAGUAGAGAAGGCCAGGUCUUGCUUUUGGAGGACUUCUCGAGCUGCAGUCGGUGAAGAGAUGACUAUGGUGGUUAUGCGUCCCAGUCUUAGACUCAUGAUCGGACCGUAAACAUGAGCCAGGUUGGCUAGUGAUUUAUGCGGGUGUUUGCCGAGAUUGUGUAUAUUUCCUAUGAGUGGCAAUGGGGAGGGUCCUGGUGGAAGCUUUUGAACAGCUUUGACAUUGUUUCUUUGUAGUAAGAAGAGUGAAAAGGCCAGCACUAUGCAGAAAAAACUGAUAAAAAAGAUCUCCAUAUGCCCCGGAGAGGUGAAAAUAGUGAUGAAAAGGUAAAGAAGAUGAUGGUUUGGAUGCUUAUGCGAUUGUAGUAGUUUCUGUUUCUAAAUUACACCCCACACGACCGACUGCAAAAAUAGAAAUGUCAUUAAAUGAGUGGUUCUUGUUAAAACACCUAAAACGUCUAUCUCUAGAACUAGGGCUGUUCACGAACCGAGCCAAGCCGAGUUUUGACCGAACCGAGCCGAGCUUUAAUUUUUUUUCUGACGAGCCGAGCCGGGCCGAGCUUUUUUAUCGAACAAAAAUUGUGUUCAAGCUCGGCUCGUUAACUAACGAGCCGAACACGAGCUUGUUCGCGAACAAAUACAAGCCGAGCCGAGUCGAAUCGAGUCGAGCCGAGCCAGAAAAAAAAUAAGGACAAACCGCUAGUUGACUCUUAAAAUAGCUAACCAAAUAAUUUUAAUUUUUUUUAAACUUUGUUUAUAUCACUAAAAUGUAUAUAUGUUAACAUCCAUACGGUUAGAUCGGUAAGAAAUAUUUUUUAAAAUAUUGAAACACUAAAUUAGGAUUAAACACUAGUUAGCGGUACUAGUUAACCUUCUACUUGACUGUUAAAAUAGCAAACCAUAUAAAAUUAUUAUUUUCCGAAAUUUUGGUAACAUCACGAAAAUAUAUAUAUAUAUAUAUAUAUAUAUAUUAAUUAUAUGUUGAAUUCUGAGUUUAAUAACAUAUAUAAAUUAUAAAAAAAAACCCGAAAAUAUUACAUUUUUUCGAGUUUUAAUGAGCCGAGCUCGAGCCGAGCGAGCUCGAGCCGAACAUACUAAAAGCUCGGCUCGAGCUCGUUUACUUAACGAACAAUUUUUUGUGUUCGAGCUCGAGCUCGUUAACUUAACGAGCCGAGCCGAACGAGCUCUUAACGAGCCGAGCUCGAGCUUGUUCGCGAACAGCUCGGUUCGUUAAACAGCCCUAUCUAGAACACUGAUUAAGAUUCGACAGUUCAAUUAUUUCUCAGAAAGCUACAGUGGCCGCUGACCAAGGGGCUCGGAGCGGAGAUAUUGUUUCAACACGGCUACAGCGACAGGAUAGCAACUAGGCAGAAAAAUAAAAUCAGAGAAUAGAUUGUUUUGGAUACUACAAUGUCAGAGCCACGUGAAGCGAUAGAAUAAUGAGUUAAGGCUUCAAUGAGUAAGAUACCCGAAAAUGUCCCUUUACUGUGAGGGAAUUAAACAAAACUUUCGAUUUUGUCACCAGUAUAAAAAAGCUCCAACCCCAUGGAUAUAGACUUGGAUGAUAUAUAAAUAUAAGAGUUUAAUAACAAAUUCAUUGCUUAAUUUUUUAUCAGUUUUGAUUUGGUUAUAAGAUAAUUUUAAUUUUAAAUUAAUUAAACUAAAAAAAUAAAAACAGUCAUUUAAUUUAUAUGCUUAUAAAAAUAUAAAAAAAAAUUCGAUUUAUAUUAUUUCAAUAGUCAGAUUUGAAUCAAACAUAUAAAUUUUUAUAAAUAUCCAAUUUUUCCUUAAUAUUUAGGAUUUAUUAUAUUAAAAGUUGUAUUGAUUUAAUACAUAUGCUUUUAAAUCGUUAUAAGAAAAUGAAUAUAUGUAGACAACACAUUUUUUCUAUCCAAUUAUUUUAUAUUGAGAAAUUAUACUGAAAAUGUUUUUUUGCACAAGUUUAAUUCUUUUUGAAUGAUUACAUGUUUAUUAAUUUUAAAAUUUUGUACAGUCAGGUACUCAUGUCCUUAUGAAUCAAUAUAAGGAAAAUUAAAUUCGUGGAGAUAAAAAUUUGUAAAUUUUUGUGGUAUGAUUAUAAUUUAAUUAUUAAACUUUAAUAUAUUCAUUUAGUCACUUAAUCCAUAUGUGUUCAUGUUUGUAAACAAUGACGGGGACGGAAGGAGUAAUUGUAGUUUCAUAAGUUUCAAUACAAAAUAACAAUGAAUUAACGUAUAGAUUCUUAUCUAAAUUAGUUUGUUAACAAAAAAUUUCCAUAAAUUAGAAAAAAUAAAUACUCGCAAAUAAUAAGAUAAAUGAAUAAAUAAAGGGAAUUUACCCAUGCUACCACUAAUUCUAAGUUUUUUUUUUGCGAUUUUAUUGUCGUUUGAAAAUACUUGAAAAAAAUAAUUUUUUAAGAAGUAUUGGCGAAAAUAUGAUCAUUAAAUGCAACCAGAUGUCCUAAGCAUGGUUUCAUCUGGUUGCAAGUAUAGUUGCAUGUGGUUGCUUACCGUAUUUUUACCAAUAUUUUUCAAAGUUAGGUAUUUUUCAAAUAAAUAUAAUUGCAUGUGGGCCCGUACAAUAUUUUUGCAAAUAAUUUUAAAAAUUUUGAUAUUUUUGUAAAAUAUUUAAAAAAUAUAUAGCAUUUUUUCGAAAAAUGCUUUGGACUGACUGAGAUAUUUUAUUUAUGAGAAAAUCCCAUAGAUAAAUAAUAGACACGCGAGAUACAUUUUAUCAUUUAUAAAUAGUAGGUUUUGCAAGUGGUGGCCAUGCCGUCAUGAAUGAGAUCAGAAUUUAUUUUAGUUAAUUUUCUUAUUCAAUCCUCGAUUAGGUAGCCUUCUCAUACACGAAUUCAUAUCGCUGGUGCUUUCGUUGAGAGAUUUGAGAGUCAGCCAGAUAGUUUACAAUCUUCACCACAACAACCAUAAUCUGGAACAAACUUCCGAAAGCCAUAAUAGCUCUGUUGUAGAAUGAUAUAUAAAUACAAAGCAUCAAGCCUGUGUGAAAAUUGGAAAAACUAAACCUUACUCACUCCACUCCUUAAUUUAAAAACGCUAGAAACUUUUACUGGUGUAAAAGAUGACAAUUGACAACUGAAAACGCAAUUAACUGAUUGCAGCCAAACUAGAGUGGCAUGUAAAGGAAGAAAUUAGUAGUCAAGGAACAACAAGAGUUGCUAGAGCACGAAGGGGAUGAAGCUUGGCAAGAGUGAUCCCGAACUUAUUCUCCAUGUCCAACUCUCCUGGAGCAAUCCCACCUUCAAGUUCCCAGUCAAAACAAUUUAUGAGGGUGCCCACCAUGACGGGCACCAUCCUCAUGGCCAGGGGCAAUCCAGGACAUUUCCUUCGACCCGCGCCAAAUGGAAUCAACUCGUAAUCAUGCCCAUACAAAUCAACUUCAGAGUCCAUGAAUCUCU